AUGAUUGAGAAAUGCUUAAAAAAUAAAAACAAAGCCAAAAAUCAAAUACAAAAAAACCUUUCCAUCCAUCCAGGUAAGAGAUGGGGCCAAGAUACAAGCCCAAGACCUCUGACUUGUCAAACUUGCUCUGCGCUGCAUGAUAAUCAUCUCCUCCCACCACCACUGCCACACGCACGCACGCACGCACACACGCACAUAUUCGAGCGCCAGCGAACACAAUCAUCCCCAAAUUCUGAACCUAUAACACUAUCGCUUCUCGGCCUUUUGGCUAAGAUCAAGUGAAGCUAUAACACUGUGCCCACUUCCAUUGAGCAAAAGUCCCCAAAACGCUCCCGGUCAUAACCUUCCUGUCCAAACCACAAACCACCCCCCCACCCCCACCCCCACCCCACAUCCCACAGGCCUGGAGCUUCAGAGGUGCCAAUUCCAUGGACCCAGAAUGGCCCCCAAGUCUACACCGUUAACCGGGGUAAUUUUGCAGGGCGUGUGUCCCAGACCUACAUCGGAGAGCUGCUAGACUAGCGUGACUCCUUGGGAAAGGGUGGGCAUGGGGUGAGCCACCCAGCCCUCCAUUCCCCUAGCCGCCCAAUGAAGACGCUACGAGGGCCUCAGAAGCUGGGGCCGUGCUGCCCUCUGGUGGUCAGAGUGGCGCUGCAGCCACCGGGCUUCCCAGAGGACAGUGACCCAAAGCGACCGCGCCAGUUCCUUCCAUCUUUGAUUCUCCCAAGACCUCUGCAGGACUUCUUUGUAAAUGGAACGUAGUGUUUCCCGAACUUCGACUCUUUGGGUAACAUCACCGCUUUGCCCAUCUCAUAUGACACUUGACCUAUUUUUUUUCUCUGAAUGUAUAUAAAAUAACUCAUUUAAAGAGAAACUUGGGAGUUCCCGUCGUGGCGCAGUGGUUAACGAAUCCGACUAGGAACCAUGAGGUCGCGGGUUCGGUCCCUGCCCUAGCUCAGUGGGUUAACGAUCCGGCGUUGCUAUGAGCUGUGGUGUAGGUUGCAGACGCGGCUCAGAUCCUGCAUUGCUGUGGCUCUGGCGUAGGCCGGUGGCUCCAGCUGCGAUUCGACCCCUAGCCUGGGAACCUCCAUAUGCCGCGGGAGCGGCCCAAGAAAUAGCAAAAAAGACAAUAAAUAAAUAAAUAAAUAAAGAUAAGCA
rnacentral:lncRNA from 1 species